rnacentral:tRNA from 1 species
GCACUGGUGGUCAGCGGUAGAACUCUCACCUUCUACGUGGGGACCCAGGUUCGAUUCCCGGCCAGUGCA